rnacentral:rRNA from 1 species
CAAGUAAUUAAGUGCAUGUGGUGGAUGCCUUGGCAGUCAGAGGCGAUGAAAGACGUGAUAGCCUGCGAAAAGCUCCGGGGAGGCGGCAAAUAUCCUUUGAUCCGGAGAUGUCUGAAUGGGGGAACCCACCUACUUUAAGGUAGGUAUUGCAACAUGAAUACAUAGUGUUGCAAGGCGAACGAGGGGAAGUGAAACAUCUCAGUACCCUUAGGAAAAGAAAUCAAUUGAGAUUCCCUCAGUAGCGGCGAGCGAACGGGGAUCAGCCCAUUAAGUUAUGUGUGUUUUAGUGGAACGCUCUGGGAAGUGCGAACGUAGAGGGUGAUAUUCCCGUACACGAAAGGGCACACAUAAUGAUGACGAGUAGGGCGAGGCACGUGAAACCUUGUCUGAAUAUGGGGGGACCAUCCUCCAAGGCUAAAUACUCCUGACUGACCGAUAGUGAACCAGUACCGUGAGGGAAAGGCGAAAAGAACCCCUGUGAGGGGAGUGAAAUAGAUCCUGAAACCGCAUGCAUACAAGCAGUGGGAGCACCUUCGUGGUGUGACUGCGUACCUUUUGUAUAAUGGGUCAGCGACUUAUAUUCAGUAGCGAGGUUAACCGUAUAGGGGAGCCGUAGAGAAAUCGAGUCUUAAUAGGGCGUUUAGUUGCUGGGUAUAGACCCGAAACCAGGCGAUCUAUCCAUGAGCAGGUUGAAGGUUGGGUAACACUAACUGGAGGACCGAACCCACUGUCGUUGAAAAGCCAGGGGAUGACUUGUGGAUAGGGGUGAAAGGCUAAUCAAGCCUGGUGAUAGCUGGUUCUCCCCGAAAGCUAUUUAGGUAGCGCCUCGGACGAAUACCAUAGGGGGUAGAGCACUGUUUCGGCUAGGGGGUCAUCCCGACUUACCAAACCGAUGCAAACUCCGAAUACCUAUGAGUACUAUCCGGGAGACAGACUGCGGGUGCUAACGUCCGUAGUCAAGAGGAAAACAAUCCAGACCGCCAGCUAAGGCCCCAAAAUCAUAGUUAAGUGGGAAACGAUGUGGGAAGGCAUAGACAGCUAGGAGGUUGGCUUAGAAGCAGCCACCCUUUAAAGAAAGCGUAAUAGCUCACUAGUCGAGUCGGCCUGCGCGGAAGAUGUAACGGGGCUAAAACUAUGUGCCGAAGCUGCGGAUGUAUACUUUGUAUACGUGGUAGGGGAGCGUUCUGUAAGCCGAUGAAGGUGUGUUGAGAAGCAUGCUGGAGGUAUCAGAAGUGCGAAUGCUGACGUGAGUAACGACAAAACGGGUGAAAAACCCGUUCGCCGAAAGACCAAGGGUUCCAGUCCAACGUUAAUCGGGGCUGGGUGAGUCGACCCCUAAGGCGAGGCCGAAAGGCGUAGUCGAUGGGAAAAUGGUUAAUAUUCCAUUACUUCUGUGUAAUGCGAUGAGAGGACGGAGAAGGCUAAAUCAGCCUGGCGUUGGUUGUCCAGGUGAAAGGAUGUAGGCAUGUAUCUUAGGCAAAUCCGGGGUACUCUAUGCUGAGAUCUGAUAGCAAGCUGUACUUGUACAGCGAAGUGGUUGAUGCCAUGCUUCCAGGAAAAGUCUCUAAGCUUCAGUUACACAGGAAUCGUACCCGAAACCGACACAGGUGGUCAGGUCGAGUAGACCAAGGCGCUUGAGAGAACUCUGCUGAAGGAACUAGGCAAAAUGGUACCGUAACUUCGGGAGAAGGUACGCUGUUGUUGGUGAUGGAACUCGCUUCCUGAGCUGACGACAGCCGCAGAAACCAGGCCGCUGCAACUGUUUAUUAAAAACAUAGCACUCUGCAAACACGAAAGUGGACGUAUAGGGUGUGAUGCCUGCCCGGUGCUGGAAGGUUAAUUGAUGGGGUUAGCGUAAGCGAAGCUCUUGAUCGAAGCCCCAGUAAACGGCGGCCGUAACUAUAACGGUCCUAAGGUAGCGAAAUUCCUUGUCGGGUAAGUUCCGACCUGCACGAAUGGCAUAAUGAUGGCGGCGCUGUCUCCAGCAGAGGCUCAGUGAAAUCGAAAUCGCUGUGAAGAUGCAGUGUACCCGCGGCUAGACGGAAAGACCCCGUGAACCUUUACUGCAGCUUGACACUGAACUUUGACCUUACUUGUGUAGGAUAGGUGGGAGGCUUUGAAGCUGGAACGCUAGUUCCAGUGGAGCCGUCCUUGAAAUACCACCCUGGUAAUGUUGAGGUUCUAACUCUGUCCCGUGAUCCGGGACGAGGACCGUGUCUGGUGGGUAGUUUGACUGGGGCGGUCUCCUCCUAAAGAGUAACGGAGGAGUACGAAGGUGCGCUCAGCGUGGUCGGAAAUCACGCGUAGAGUAUAAAGGCAAAAGCGCGCUUAACUGCGAGACCCACAAGUCGAGCAGGUACGAAAGUAGGUCUUAGUGAUCCGGUGGUUCUGUAUGGAAGGGCCAUCGCUCAACGGAUAAAAGGUACUCUGGGGAUAACAGGCUGAUACCGCCCAAGAGUUCAUAUCGACGGCGGUGUUUGGCACCUCGAUGUCGGCUCAUCUCAUCCUGGGGCUGAAGCAGGUCCCAAGGGUAUGGCUGUUCGCCAUUUAAAGAGGUACGCGAGCUGGGUUUAGAACGUCGUGAGACAGUUCGGUCCCUAUCUACCGUGGGCGCUGGAAAUUUGAGAGGAUCUGCUCCUAGUACGAGAGGACCAGAGUGGACGAACCUCUGGUGUACCGGUUGUGACGCCAGUCGCAUCGCCGGGUAGCUAUGUUCGGAAGGGAUAACCGCUGAAAGCAUCUAAGCGGGAAGCCUACCUCAAGAUAAGAUUUCCCUAGGACUUUAUGUCCUCUAAAGAGCCGUUCGAGACUAGGACGUUGAUAGGUUGGAUGUUGAAGCAUAGUGAUAUGUGAAGCUGACCAAUACUAAUUGCUCGUGAGGCUUGACUA